rnacentral:rRNA from 1 species
UACGAAGGGGGCUAGCGUUGCUCGGAAUUACUGGGCGUAAAGCGUGCGCAGGCGGCUUCUCAAGUCAGGGGUGAAAGCCCAGAGCUCAACUCUGGAAUUGCCUUUGAGACUGAGUGGCUUGAGUACGGGAGAGGUGAGUGGAAUUCCCAGUGUAGAGGUGAAAUUCGUAGAUAUUGGGAAGAACACCGGUGGCGAAGGCGGCUCACUGGCCCGUAACUGACGCUCAUGCACGACAGCGUGGGGAUCAAACAGG